AGAGUUUGAUCCUGGCUCAGGACGAACGCUGGCGGCACGCUUAACACAUGCAAGUCGAACGAGAGAAGAGGAGCUUGCUUUUCUGAUCUAGUGGCGGACGGGUGAGUAACACGUGAGCAAUCUGCCUUUCAGAGGGGGAUACCGAUUGGAAACGAUCGUUAAUACCGCAUAACAUAAUUGAACCGCAUGAUUUGAUUAUCAAAGAUUUAUCGCUGAAAGAUGAGCUCGCGUCUGAUUAGCUAGUUGGUAAGGUAACGGCUUACCAAGGCGACGAUCAGUAGCCGGACUGAGAGGUUGAUCGGCCACAUUGGGACUGAGACACGGCCCAGACUCCUACGGGAGGCAGCAGUGGGGGAUAUUGCACAAUGGAGGAAACUCUGAUGCAGCGAUGCCGCGUGAGGGAAGAAGGUUUUAGGAUUGUAAACCUCUGUCUUCAGGGACGAAAAAAGACGGUACCUGAGGAGGAAGCUCCGGCUAACUACGUGCCAGCAGCCGCGGUAAUACGUAGGGAGCGAGCGUUGUCCGGAAUUACUGGGUGUAAAGGGAGCGUAGGCGGGAUCGCAAGUCAGAUGUGAAAACUAUGGGCUUAACCCAUAAACUGCAUUUGAAACUGUGGUUCUUGAGUGAAGUAGAGGUAAGCGGAAUUCCUAGUGUAGCGGUGAAAUGCGUAGAUAUUAGGAGGAACAUCAGUGGCGAAGGCGGCUUACUGGGCUUUAACUGACGCUGGGGCUCGAAAGCGUGGGGAGCAAACAGGAUUAGAUACCCUGGUAGUCCACGCCGUAAACGAUGAUUACUAGGUGUGGGGGGACUGACCCCUUCCGUGCCGCAGCAAACGCAAUAAGUAAUCCACCUGGGGAGUACGACCGCAAGGUUGAAACUCAAAGGAAUUGACGGGGGCCCGCACAAGCAGUGGAGUAUGUGGAUUAAUUCGAAGCAACGCGAAGAACCUUACCAGGUCUUGACAUCGUAUGCAUAGCUCAGAGAUGAGUGAAAUCUCUUCGGAGACAUAUAGACAGGUGGUGCAUGGUUGUCGUCAGCUCGUGUCGUGAGAUGUUGGGUUAAGUCCCGCAACGAGCGCAACCCUUACUGUUAGUUGCUACGCAAGAGCACUCUAGCAGGACUGCCGUUGACAAAACGGAGGAAGGUGGGGAUGACGUCAAAUCAUCAUGCCCCUUAUGACCUGGGCCUCACACGUACUACAAUGGCUGUCAACAGAGGGAAGCAAAGCCGCGAGGUGGAGCGAACCCCUAAAAGCAGUCUUAGUUCGGAUUGUAGGCUGCAACCCGCCUACAUGAAGUCGGAAUUGCUAGUAAUCGCAGAUCAGCAUGCUGCGGUGAAUACGUUCCCGGGCCUUGUACACACCGCCCGUCACGCCAUGGGAGUCGGUAACACCCGAAGCCUGUAGUCUAACCGCAAGGAGGACGCAGUCGAAGGUGGGAUUGAUGACUGGGGUGAAGUCGUAACAAGGUA
rnacentral:rRNA from 1 species